AAAAAAAAAAAAAAAAACCCAUAAUCAAGCUUAUGAGGAUAAAAUGGAGUAGGUUUUUCUAGGGGGGCAGUCAAUUGGCAAUAUGAGGUGGGUGUACAUGGACGAAAGUAGUUUGUGUAGCAGGAGGUGCAAUUUGAAAAUCUAGUGUUGUUAUAUAACUAGAGGCACCAUCUGCAACAACAAUUUACCUGGAUAAAUUUAUAUCAACCUUGAACCACCAAUUUCAUAAUACAAUCAUUCAUAGAAGUAUCGACACAAGAUGGUCAGCAGUGUGAAGUUUUUUAUCAACAAUCAAUCGAUUUGUUGUUUGAGAAAACUUUCUUUCAUCAAUCAAUUAAUUCAACAAUUUGUUGUUUGAGAAAAUCAUCAUUUUUCCAUAUUGCAACAAUAAGAUCAAUAUUAUUAUAUCAUAUAAAUAAUGUCUCUUCCUCAUUUUUCCUUCUUCUAUUCUAAUUCUCGAAAUAUCAUGAGAUGGGGCAGCAGCAAGUCAUCAAUUAUUAUCACAUAAAGAGUUAAUUUACCAUGAGUAAUUAAACUUGUGAGAAUUUUUAAGUUUUAGUAACCAUUCAAUUCAAACAAUGGCUUUCACAGCACUUUUAAGGCAUGUGUACAACAGGAAAGGAGUGCAGAUCUUGGUGUCUAACAGAGCUAAAUGGCGAAAAAGGAUCCGCAUAGUCAACCCCAACUAAUUCAGGAUUAAGGCUUAGUUGUUGCUGU
rnacentral:misc_RNA from 1 species